CUCUAACCUCAAAGAACCUCUCUAGAAAAUUGCUUUCUCGGCAGCCUUGUCUGGACAACUAGGGUUUUGAAGCGAACUUAGCCACCGCAUCACCAUCACCAUGAGAGCCAAGUGGAAGAAGAAGCGUAUGAGGAGGUUGAAGAGGAAGCGCCGAAAGAUGAGACAGAGAUCCAAGUAGAUUUAUUAUUAUCAUUAUUAUUAUUAAGUCGGUGUCGUUUUGUUUUCUAAUCGGAUGUUGAUUAGAGUCGUUAGUGUCUUUUUGUUUUCCUAUGUUUGGAUAAAUUUCUAAGAAAUGGAUUUUUGUACUGUUUAAUGAGAUUUUUCGUAUUUAACUUUUAAUGUUUUUAUAUGGUUAUAGUUAUGUGGAAACUUGUCCUUUUAUAUUUGAA